UCUAUACCAAAAUUGGAAUCUUUUGGUUACAACACAUUUUGGAUCCUAGGUGGCGGCCAAGGUGUUUUUUAAGCUUUGAGGUUUAAAAAAUGCACAAAAUCAUCAUAUUUUGACAAAAUGUCCAAAAUAGGCUUACUUUGGGGAAUAUUAUGUUCUCUUAGAAGAACUGAUAUAUUUAGCAUUUAGACUUUUGAAAUACAACCAUUUACGAACCAAAUUGAGACCUUUGUGGUGUUAUAUGAUAAAGUUGAUAUUUUAGGCCAUAUUGUGCCAUUAGUGAACCUUGUCCUUU
rnacentral:lncRNA from 1 species